rnacentral:lncRNA from 1 species
CAGGGCUGUCUUAGAGAAAUGACCAUGAGAAAACAGUGCAUCAGAAAGCUGUAGAUCAGCUGUCCUGGUAACUAGUUUCCUGAGGAGCUAUGGGAGGUUGAGUCCUACAAGCAAGAGACAAACUCUCCCCGUUUCUCUCCAUCCAAUGUCAGAGAAUGGACUGAAUUGUGGAGGUGGCUCUCCAGUGAGUGUGCUUGGAAUGUCGUCCAUGAGAACAGGUUGGAAAUGAGAGCUGAACUGUGAAAAGGGAAGAAGRACCACAUUAAACUGGCAUGAAAUUAAUGAAGAG